rnacentral:rRNA from 1 species
UGCAAGUCGAGCGGAAGGCCCUUCGGGGUACUCGAGCGGCGAACGGGUGAGUAACACGUGAGCAACCUGCCCCAGGCUUUGGGAUAACCCCGGGAAACCGGGGCUAAUACCGAAUAUGACCUCCGAUCGCAUGGUUGGUGGUGGAAAGUUUUUCGGCUUGGGAUGGGCUCGCGGCCUAUCAGCUUGUUGGUGGGGUGAUGGCCUACCAAGGCGACGACGGGUAGCCGGCCUGAGAGGGCGACCGGCCACACUGGGACUGAGACACGGCCCAGACUCCUACGGGAGGCAGCAGUGGGGAAUAUUGCACAAUGGGCGGAAGCCUGAUGCAGCGACGCCGCGUGAGGGAUGACGGCCUUCGGGUUGUAAACCUCUUUCAGCAGGGACGAAGCGUAAGUGACGGUACCUGCAGAAGAAGCGCCGGCCAACUACGUGCCAGCAGCCGCGGUAAGACGUAGGGCGCGAGCGUUGUCCGGAUUUAUUGGGCGUAAAGAGCUCGUAGGCGGCUUGUCGCGUCGACCGUGAAAACCUGGGGCUCAACCCCAGGCCUGCGGUCGAUACGGGCAGGCUAGAGUUCGGUAGGGGAGACUGGAAUUCCUGGUGUAGCGGUGAAAUGCGCAGAUAUCAGGAGGAACACCGGUGGCGAAGGCGGGUCUCUGGGCCGAUACUGACGCUGAGGAGCGAAAGCGUGGGGAGCGAACAGGAUUAGA